rnacentral:rRNA from 1 species
UGAAAUCUGGCUCUCGGGCCCGAGUUGUAAUUUGUAGAGGAUGCUUUUGGUGAGGUGCCUUCCGAGUUCCCUGGAACGGGACGCCACAGAGGGUGAGAGCCCCGUCUGGUUGGACACCGAGCCUCUGUAAAGCUCCUUCGACGAGUCGAGUAGUUUGGGAAUGCUGCUCUAAAUGGGAGGUAUAUGUCUUCUAAAGCUAAAUACCGGCCAGAGACCGAUAGCGCACAAGUAGAGUGAUCGAAAGAUGAAAAGAACUUUGAAAAGAGAGUUAAACAGUACGUGAAAUUGUUGAAAGGGAAGCGCUUGUGACCAGACUUGGGCUUGGUUGAUCAUCCGGGGUUCUCCCCGGUGCACUCUUCCGGCUCAGGCCAGCAUCAGUUCGCCCUGGGGGAUAAAGGCAGCGGGAAUGUGGSUCUCUCCGGGGAGUGUUAUAGCCCGCUGCGUAAUACCCUGUGGCGGA